GAUGAACGCUGGCGGCGUGCCUAAUACAUGCAAGUCGAGCGAACAGAUAAGGAGCUUGCUCCUUUGACGUUAGCGGCGGACGGGUGAGUAACACGUGGGUAACCUACCUAUAAGACUGGGAUAACUUCGGGAAACCGGAGCUAAUACCGGAUAACAUUUGGAACCGCAUGGUUCUAAAGUGAAAGAUGGUUUUGCUAUCACUUAUAGAUGGACCCGCGCCGGAUUAGCUAGUUGGUAAGGUAACGGCUUACCAAGGCAACGAUACGUAGCCGACCUGAGAGGGUGAUCGGCCACACUGGAACUGAGACACGGUCCAGACUCCUACGGGAGGCAGCAGUAGGGAAUCUUCCGCAAUGGGCGAAAGCCUGACGGAGCAACGCCGCGUGAGUGAUGAAGGGUUUCGGCUCGUAAAACUCUGUUAUUAGGGAAGAACAAACGUGUAAGUAACUGUGCACGUCUUGACGGUACCUAAUCAGAAAGCCACGGCUAACUACGUG
rnacentral:rRNA from 1 species